rfam:Myotis brandtii contig228667, whole genome shotgun sequence.
AGAGGUCCUCUGCGGCCAGGGUUGAAUGCUUGCCUCAUCGCGGCGGCGAUGAAGCAAGCAUUCCGCCAGGCCGCUCACACUGCCUGC